UACGGGGGGGCAAGCGUUGUUCGGAAUUACUGGGCGUAAAGGGCUCGUAGGUGGCCAACUAAGUCAGACGUGAAAUCCCCAGGCUCAACUUGGGAACUGCGUCUGAUACUGGAUGGCUUGAAUUCGGGAGAGGGAUGCAGAAUUCCAGGUGUAGCGGUGAAAUGCGUAGAUAUCUGGAGGAAUACCGGUGGCGAAGGCGGCAUCCUGGACCGAGAUUGACACUGAUGAGCGAAAGCUAGGGAGCAAACGGG
rnacentral:rRNA from 1 species